AACGAAUGCUGGCGGCAGGCCUAACACAUGCAAGUCGAGCGAAGCCUUCGGGCUUAGCGGCGGACGGGUGAGUAACGCGUGGGAACGUGCCCUUUGGUACGGAAUAGCCCCGGGAAACUGGGAGUAAUACCGUAUGUGGUCGAGAGACGAAAGAUUUAUCGCCAAAGGAUCGGCCCGCGUUGGAUUAGGUAGUUGGUGGGGUAAUGGCCUACCAAGCCGACGAUCCAUAGCUGGUUUGAGAGGAUGAUCAGCCACACUGGGACUGAGACACGGCCCAGACUCCUACGGGAGGCAGCAGUGGGGGAUCUUAGACAAUGGGGGAAACCCUGAUCUAGCCAUGCCGCGUGAUCGAUGAAGGCCUUAGGGUUGUAAAGAUCUUUCAGUGGGGAAGAUAAUGACUGUACCCACAGAAGAAGCCCCGGCUAACUCCGUGCCAGCCGCCGCGGUAACAC
rnacentral:rRNA from 1 species